rnacentral:rRNA from 1 species
CUACGGGAGGCAGCAGUGGGGAAUUUUGCGCAAUGGGCGAAAGCCUGACGCAGCAACGCCGCGUGAGUGAUGAAGGCCUUCGGGUCGUAAAGCUCUGUCAGAGGGGAAGAACCACCUGUUGACCAAUACUCAACAGGUCUGACGGUACCCUCAAAGGAAGCACCGGCUAACUCCGUGCCAGCAGCCGCGGUAAUACGGAGGGUGCGAGCGGUUGUUCGGAAUUAUUGGGCGUAAAGCGCGUGUAGGCGGUUGUUUAAGUCUGAUGUGAAAGCCCCGGGCUUAACUUGGGAAGCGCAUUGGAACCUGAGCAACUAGAGUACGGGAGAGGGUAGUGGAAUUCCGAGUGUAGGGGUGAAAUCCGUAGAUAUUCGGAGGAACACCGGUGGCGAAGGCGGCUACCUGGACCGAUACUGACGCUGAGACGCGAAAGCGUGGGGAGCAAACAGGAUUAGAUACCCGGGUAGUC